AAAUAAAAACUAGAUGUUUAUUUCCUAAUUUAUUUCAGGGAGAAGAAAAGCAAAAACCAAACAGAUGACAAGAUCAUGUAUUUCGUACAAUGACUGAAAUAAAUGUUGCAAGGGUUCUUUGCGUGCUUUUCUGCAUCUAGUUGAAAAACAGCUACCUGCUGGAGUUCUGACUGGCCUUAUAGCUCCAGUAUUCAGCUGUCAUCUGGGUAGGUGCAGCUUCUGUGCUCAAACUGAUGAAACGUACUGAGAUUGGUUAGCGAGUGACUAGUGUGCCUCCUCUUCCUGGGUGCAGUAUCUGCUUCAGUGGAACAAUCUGGAUAAUUAGGUUGUGCAAUUCAUUCUUGGCUCCGAAGAGGCUGGUCCUGAACAUAUCCUUACAGUGCAGAAGAGUCAAUAAAUGCUUGUUACGUGAUGGGAAAAUAGCUGUCCUUCCAGCCUGAUGAAGGUAAUUCACCAUGGGGAAUAGAUGUCACCAUGAGUAACACAAGACUUGUCUCUUCAAAGACAA